GGGCGCAUGGUCUAGUGGUAUGAUUUCUGUUUUGCAUGAAAAUUUCUGUCUCUACAGACGGUCCCGCGUUCGAUCCGCGGUGCGUCCA